UGCCAGCANHMGCGGUCAAACGUCUAUCUAAAAUUCAGCUCAUAGGUAAGUGGUAUAAAUGAAAAAGAGAAAAAAAAGUAAAAACGACAAAUAAAAUAGAAAAAUAUAAAAUAGACAGAAAUCAGAAACUCUAAUUAAAAUAAAAAACAACCCACGAAAAUCAAUCAUAGGACCAGGAUUAGAUACCCUGCUACUACAGAUCAUAAAUUGAAAUAUACCAAGCAAUUAAAAGAACUAAUCUUCAAAACUAAAAAGCAUGGCGGCUUUCUAUAUAACCAGGGGAGCUUGCCCCAUAAAUGAUAACCCCCAGCCAUAUUCACCUUCUAUAGUAUAAAAUCAGCUUGUAUACCUCCGACGGCAGUUAACCUCAAAAGAGAGAAAAAGUUAACAAAAAAUUAUAAUACCAAAUAAAUAAAAAGUCAGGUCAAGGUGCAGCUAAUGAGAAGGAGCCAGGUGAGCUACAUUAAACAAUAUUUUAAAGACUUACAUAAUCAAAAGAUUAGUAAGUAAGAGUACUUGAAAGUAAGGUUAAAUUAAAAAGUUAACCUGAAAUAAUAAAUAGAAAGUGCACAUAUCGCCCGUCAAUCCCAUAUACACAAAAUAGGGAAAAGUCGUAACACAGUA
rnacentral:rRNA from 1 species